CGCUUGCGUGUGCAGACCUGUCAACGUUGGAGUGUAUCAUACUACAUAAAGCAGCCGUUUCCCUUCUAGUGAAGCUGAAUCCCAGUAGGGGACUGAUUGUUUCUCCUUAGGGCAGGCCGGCAGCUGUCAGUGUGUUAGGGGGGAGGUGGAGUGGUGCUGCUAUAAGGUCACCAUCCGUAGUCAGUGGGACUGUGAAGUAUAGUCUUAUGACUUUCACACUAUUAAAGUAUGGUGUCAUCAAGAGAAGGAGAACGUAUUAUCUGAGAGCUCCACCAGAGCAGAGAGCAGGAGAGCGAGAGAGAGGGGGAUAGAGAAAGAGAGACAGCGAGAGAGACAGACACAAAGAAAGAGAAAUAGGGGGAGAUAGAGAUAAAUGAAAAGGGCUGAUAGGAAGGUGACAGCAGCAUGGAUCUUUGAACUCCUAAAUCCUUUGAAAAACUCUCUUUAUCAAUCUGAACGUCGUCGCACCGAUACACUACGGAGCAGCCCGUGACCAAUCCCAGCCCUCGCAAUUUGCAUUGGUAAUGAGGAAGUUUUUUCAAGAGCGAAUUGGAACUUCAGUCAGAGACUAAGAAAUGCAUUCAAAGUCCAGUCCAGCGCCUUCGGGAUUAAAACAACAGGACAGGCUAAUGUGGAAAUCAAGGUCACACCUCUCUGCAGCGUCAUCUUUUCGCGUCUCAGCCCACUGUCCAGUCCUGGACCAUGGGAAUACUCUCUCACAGCAAUCAGUCACUGGUGUGGACCACAGGACCAUGGACCACAGGUCUGCUCUAGUGCCCUCACCUGGCACCAUCCAGCCAUUGCACCUGCUCAUCAUUCUAACCUGAAACCCAGCAGGACAGAGAAAAGAAAAUGAUUAACAAUUAACAAGGUUGAUGGAAGAAGUUUGGUUCGAACAUUAGAGUAAUGGAGGAGGUUCCACACUUUUAUUUUCAUUGGAAAGCUGUGUUUCAGUUCUUCGUCAUCUGCUUGGCAAAAAUAUUAGUACAUUUACUUUCAAUUCUCUGUAAAUUGUCUGCAUCUAGCUAUCUAUUGAUUUGAUAGGAAAAACCUUGGCUUACCUCUUGUCACGCCCUGGCCUUAGUAUGUUGUGUUUUCUUUAUUAUUUUGGUCAGGCCAGGGUGUGACAUGGGUGAUUUGUGUGUCUUGCUUGUCUAGGGGUUUAUUCGAUUUAUGGGGUUGUGUUUAGUAGAGUUGUCUAGGAAAGUCUAUGGUUGCCUAGAGUGGUUCUCAAUCAGAGGCAGGUGUUUAUCGUUGUCUCUGAUUGGGAACCAUAUUUAGGCAGCCAUAUUCUUUGGAUAUUUCGUGGGUGAUUGUUUCCUGUCUUUGUGUUUGUUGCACCAGAUAGGGCUGUUUCGUUUUUUUGCGGUUCUUGUUUUGUAAAUUGUUCGUAUUUUCCAUCUUUCAUUAAAGAUGUAUAAAGAUAACCACGCUGCAUUUUGGUCCUCCUCUCUUUCACCAGAAGAAAACCGUAACAGAAUCACCCACCACAACAGGACCAAGUGGCGUGGUGACAGGCAGCGGCAGCAGGAGCAGUGAAGUCAGGACUAUACGACUUGGGAGGAAAUAGACAGGUGGACGGUCAACCCAGUGAGAGUGCCGGAGCCCGCCUGGGAUUCGCUGGAGCAGUGCGAGGAGGGUUAUAGGAGAAUGGAGUUGGAGAGACGAGCACGGCGGCGUGGAUAGAAGCCCGAGAGUCAGCCCCAAAAAUGUCACACAGGGAGUAUGGCGAAGCCAGGUAGGAGACCUGCGCCAACUUCCUGUGCUUACCGGGGGGCUAGAUAGACCGGGCAGGCACCGUGUUAUGCUGUGGAGUGCACGGUGUCUCCAGUGCGGGUGCAUAGCCAGCUCCUCGUAUCGGCCGGGCUAGAGUGGGCAUCGAGCCAAGUGUCAUGAAGCCGGCUCUAUGCAUCUGGUCUACAGUGCGUCUCCUUGGGCCGGCUUACAUGGCACCAGCCUUGCGCACGGUGUCCCCGGUUCGCCUGCAUAGCCCAGUGCAGGCUAUUCCACCUCGCCGCACUGGCAGGGCGACCGGGAGCAUUCAACCAGGUAAGGUUGGGCAGGCUCGGUGCUCAAGAGCUCCAGUGCGCCUGCACGGUCCGGUCUAUCCGGUACCACCUCUACGCAUCAGCCCUCCGGUGGCAGCUCCCCGCACUCGCCCAGAGGUGCGUGUCCUCUGCCCAGUACCACCAGUGCCGGCACCACGCACCAGACCUACAGUGCGCCUCGCCUGUCCAGCGCCGCCGGAGUCUCCCGCCUGUCCAGCGCCGCCGGAGUCUCCCUCCUCGCCAGCGCCGCCGGAGCCUCCCGCCUGUCCGGCGCCGCCGGAGUCUCCCGCCUGUCAGGCAGGAUCUGCCAGAGCCGCCUGUCAUCCAGGAUCUACCAGAGCCGCCAGUCAGCCAGACUCUGCCAGAGCCAUCAAACUGCCUGAGCUUCCCCUCAGUCCCUAGCUUCCCCUCAGUCCCAAGCUUCCCCUCAGUCCCGAGCUUCCCCUCAGUCCCGAGCUGCCCCUCAGUUCAGUGGGGCCCUUUGUAAGGGUUACUAGGCCAAGGUCGGCGGCGAGGGUCUCCAAUCUAAGGACGCUAAGGAGGUGGACAAAGACUAAGUUGGAGUGGGGUCCACGUCCCGCGCCAGAGCCACCACCGUGGAUAGACACCCACCCAGACCUCCCCUAUGGGUUUAGGUGUGCGGCCGGGAGUCCGCACCUUUGGGGGGGUAGUGUCACGCCCUGGCCUUAGUAUUUUGUGUUUUCUUUAUUAUUUUGGUCAGGCCAGGGUGUGACGGGUGAUUUAUGUGUCUUGUCUUGUCUAGGGUUUUUUAUAUUUAUGGGGUUGUGUUUAGUAGAGUUGUCUAGGAAAGUCUAUGGUUGCCUAGAGUGGUUCUCAAUCAGAGGCAGGUGUUUAUCAUUGUCUCUGAUUGGGAACCAUAUUUAGGCAGCCAUAUUCUUUGGGUAUUCCGUGGGUGAUUGUUUCCUGUCGUUGUGUUUGUUGCACCAUAUAGGGCUGUUUCGGUUUUUCACGGUUCUUGUUUUGUAAAUUGUUUGUAUUUUCCAUCUUUCAUUGAAGAUGUAUAAAGAUAACCAUGCUGCAUUUUGU
ensembl:lncRNA